ACAGUAAAGAUUCCGUGCGAUAGAGCGUGGCCGACCACAGUGUCACAGCAUUGCACAGCAUCGCUUCCAUUGAACGGACGAUAAAAGUGAAAGCGCACACAACCCGCUCCGUUUGCUCCGCCUGAUGCCGCCGUAUAUUUGUGCAUUAGCCGCAUGCCGCAUUAGCGUUUGGACACAACACAUGGUGUGAGGUACUGAUAAACUAUACGAGAAAAAAAAUUAAUUAGACACAAUGAUCAUCCCUGUACGCUGUUUUACGUGCGGAAAAGUAAUUGGCAAUAAAUGGGAGGCAUAUCUUGGACUUCUUCAGGCAGAAUACACGGAAGGAGAUGCCUUGGAUGCGCUUGGUCUUAAAAGAUAUUGUUGUCGCAGGAUGCUGCUUGGGCAUGUAGACCUAAUUGAAAAGUUACUUAACUAUGCGCCACUAGAGAAGUAACUUAUUUAACAUUAAUAAAUCUUUACAUCUAUUUUUGGAAGUAUUUUGAUAUAUCAAAUUCACACACACACACACACACAUGAUGUAAAACAGCAUUGUUUGCUAAUAAUCUAUUUAUAUGAUAAGUACGUUUUGUUAACAAAAAGAAUUAAAACAGUUUUAUUCGCAAUCAAAUUGAUUUUUUUUUUAAUCUUACGUGAUUUUAUAAAAAAUAAAAUGCAAUUACAUUAUGGCAACAGUAAUGCUGCAUAUAAGAUAAAAAAUUAAAAAUAUAAAUUGAAGGGCAGUAUCCUUUUUACAAAAUGUAAAAUUAUUUUUAUUUCAUAACUUUAACCAAUGCCAUGUGUUACAAAAUUCUGUUAUAAAUGGUAAAAAUUUUAUUUAUAUAAAAAUUUGUCUGCUCAUAAUAAGAGUCGAAGCAAUAUAUAUAUAUUCUGUGUACACGUGUAUACUUGGUUCUCAAAAGCAUAUUUUAAUGUUUAUUUUAAAUGCAAUGUUGGAAGACUGCCUGACUAUGCUUGAGCAACGUUUCUUCUAUAAUGCAGGUGGCAUGCAUUCAUUUCACACAGAAUCUGUUAUUUUUUCUCGGAAUGCGUUUUUAAAUCCUUGAUUCAAUUAUUUAUUUUGUAAAAAUAUUUCUUUUUACUAAUAUAAUAGUAAACAUUAAAAUAUAUACCAGUUAAGAUAUAGCGUUAUAUAUAUAUUGUAAAUUUUGUCAAAUUUAGUAAAAAUACGUGUGGGCGUUUUUUAUCAAAAUAUCUUUCUGCAAGGCAAGAUUAUGUAGAUAAUUUGCUGAAAAAUUACAAUUAGAUUUCUUUAAUUACAAUUUUGUAUAAAUGCACAAUAUCAAAACUUCUGUUCUAUAUCGUGGAAUUAAAUAGUAUAUAAUAGACAUUAUUUCGAUAAUAUACAAAUUAUUU